rnacentral:snoRNA from 1 species
UGGGUCAAUGAUGACCACUGGUGGCAUAUGAGUUGUACGUGAUGAAAACGUGUCUGGAACUCUGAGGUCCUU